rnacentral:rRNA from 1 species
GAUGAACGCUGGCGGCGUGCCUAAUACAUGCAAGUCGAGCGGUAACACCUCGGGUAACGAGCGGCGGACGGCUGAGUAACGCGUAGGAACAUACCCCAAAGUGAGGGAUAAGCACCGGAAACGGUGUCUAAUACCGCAUGUGGUCUUCGGAUUAAAGCUUCGGCGCUUUGGGAAUGGCCUGCGUAUGAUUAGCUUGUUGGUGAGGUAAUGGCUCACCAAGGCGACGAUCAUUAGCUGGUCUGAGAGGAUGAUCAGCCAGACUGGGACUGAGAACGGCCCAGACUCCUACGGGAGGCAGCAGUAGGGAAUUUUCCACAAUGGACGAAAGUCUGAUGGAGCAACGCCGCGUGCAGGAUGAAUGCCUUCGGGUUGUAAACUGCUUUUCUCUGUGACGAUUAUGACGGUAGCAGAGGAAUAAGGAUCGGCUAACUCCGUGCCAGCCGCCGCGGUAA